rnacentral:lncRNA from 1 species
CUCGUUCCCUGGUUUCUUGGGAUGCUUAAACCACUAGGAGAACUCAUUCUUACCUGCACAAAUCAUAAAUAUUGAAAAUACCUGAUUUUGGCUUGAAGUGAGCUUGUUUGAGGCUGAAGUGGUCUUGUCUGGGUCUGGUCCGUCCAGCUUGAUUUCCUUGAUGGUUUCCUCCUCUUGGAGUCCUUUGAGCUCUAAUUGAUGAAGAUCUUCAAGAGUUUCCACGUGAAUACCUUCAAGCUUGUCUUCUUGUUCUACUUGAAGCUUGUUGGUUCCAUUGCUUGUCUUGGACGUAUCUUGCAGCUCUAAAGUGUUCUUUGUUGAAAUCUUGAUGUUUUUAGCUCCUACACCUGCCAAUGAAAUAGACUUACAAUGGGUUUCGGUUGGAGUUGCUUCCUUGAGGCUGAGACGUGCGAAGUCCUCUGUUAGGUCCAAAUCGGGUGCACUUGAGCUUUCUUGAGAAGUCGUAGAUACUUGAGUGUUUCUGGACAUCUCUCCAAGUUCCAUGGUGCUGAGUAGAGUCUCUACAGCCUUGUUAAACCCUUCCUUGAGCCUUCUUGCCUUAGAACGAGUCAUUGGUCCAUCCUUAACUUCGGGAAUGUUUGGUUUGUCUUGGUUUGAUUCACAGCUUAGGUCGAUGACCUCAUCAUUCCCACCCUCUUCAGAAGGUUUUGUCCUCAAAACUGGAUCAUCUGAAUCAAAAGGAGAUAGAUCAGCAACAUUAAAACUAUGUGACAUAUUGAACUCACUUGGCAGCUCCAAGCGGUAGGCAUUGUCGUUGAUCUUCUCUAGCACUUUGAAAGGGCCAUCUCCUCUAGGUGAAAGCUUUGAGCUUCUUUGGUUUGGGAACCUCUCUGGUCUCAUGUGCAGCCACACCCAUUCUCCUGGUUCAAAGACCAAUUUCUUGCGUCCUUUGUCAGCCCUCUUCUUGUAUUCUUCAGUCUUCUUCAGUAUGUUGUCUCGGACCUUCUCAUGCAGCUUCUUCACGAACUCUCCUUUGUUUAGACCAUCUAAAUUGAUUUGCUCCGCUUGGGGUAUCGGUGAAAGGUCCAAAGGCGUCAAAGGAUUAAAUCCGUAUACAACUUCAAAAGGAGACAUCUUAGUAGCCGAGUGAGUAGCAUGGUUAUAAGCAAAUUCGAUAAACGGCAAACAAUCUAACCAUGUUUUCAGAUUUCUACCAAGAGUGACUCGAAGUAAAGUAGAUAAGGUACGGUUUACCACUUCGGUUUGUCCAUCCGUUUGGGGAUGACAAGUGGUAGAGAACAACAGCUUGGUUCCAAGCUUUCUCCACAAGGUUCUCCAGAAGUGACCUAGGAACUUAGAAUCUCGGUCAGAAACAAUAGUUCUAGGUAUACCAUGUAAACGUACCACCUCUUUGAAGAAUAGAUCAGCGAUUUGUGUGGCAUCAUUGGUCUUGUCGCAUGGUAUGAAAUGGGCCAUCUUUGAGAACCGAUCCACGACGACAAAAACUGAAUCCUUAUGCCUUAUCUUUGGUAGUCCUAGGACAAAAUCCAUAGAUAUAUCCACCCAUGGGGCGUUAGGUAUAGGUAAAGGUAAAUAAAGACCAUGAGGAUAUAACCUGGAUUUAGCUCUGUGACAAAUGACACAACGAGAGCAGUGCUUCUCCACAUCUUUCUUGAGGUGAGGCCAAAAGAAAUGAUCAACUACUACAGCCAACGUUUUGUCAACACCAAAAUGUCCCAUUAGGCCUCCACCAUGGGCUUCUCUUAAUAGUAAUUCCCUAAGUGAUCCUUGUGGUACACACAACCUCUUGUCACGAAACAGAAACCCGUCAUGAAGGUAGUAUGAUCCAUACGCUCCCUUCCCACAAGCCUCAUAAGCUUCCUUAAAGUCUGGAUCAUCUUUGUAGAGAUCCUUAAUGUGUUCAAAACCCAUUACACGUGCCUCCAUUGUUGAUAUCAAGGCAUAUCUUCGAGACAAUGCAUCUGCUACAACGUUCUCCUUUCCCUUCUUGUAUUUGAUAACAUAUGGGAACGUUUCUAUGAACUCCAGCCACUUAGCAUGUCUUCUCUUAAGUGAAGUCUGACCUCGUAGAUGCUUAAGUGUCUCAUGAUCGGUGUGAAUGAUGAACUCCUUAGAUAGAAGGUAGUGUUGCCAUGUUUCCAAUGCACGAACCAAGGCGUACAGCUCCUUGUCAUAAGUAGGGUAGUUCAAUGUGGCUCCGCUUAGCUUCUCACUGAAAAAUGCCACGGGUCUCUUCCUUUGAUGCAGCACCGCUCCAAUGCCCAGACCUGAUGCAUCACACUCUACCUCAAACAUCUCUUCGAAAUCCGGUAGAGCUAGAACCGGUGCAUGUGUGAGCCGAUCCUUGAGGGUGUUAAACGCAGUGUCUUGAGCUGCUCCCCAUGAGAAUGGUGCGUUUUUCUUAAUCACAGCCGUGAGUGGUGCAGCCACCGUACUAAAAUCCUUUACAAACCUCCUAUAGAAGCUUGCUAAGCCGUGAAAGCUCCUCACAUGUCCAAUGGUGGUAGGAGUAGGCCAUUCUUGGAUAGCUCUUAUCUUUUCUUCAUCGACUUGUAGUCCCUGUUCACUCACUACAAAGCCUAAGAAAAUGAGACGGUUAGUACAAAACAUGCACUUCUUAAGGUUAGCAUAUAGGCCUUCCUUUCGAAGUGUUUUAAGCACUAGUUCCAGAUGUUCUAAAUGAUCAUUUAGGUUCUUACUGUAGAUAAGAAUAUCAUCAAAGUAAACAACUACGAAUUUACUGAUAUAAGAACGAAGAACCUGGUUCAUUAGUCGCAUGAAAGUGCUAGGUGCGUUAGUCAAGCCAAAGGGCAUAACCAACCACUCAUAUAGACCCUGCUUGGUCUUGAAUGCGGUUUUCCACUCAUCUCCCUCACGCAUUCUGACUUGGUGGUAGCCACUUUUCAGAUCAACUUUGGAGAAGAUGGUUGAACCACUUAAUUCGUCUAGCAUAUCAUCUAAGCGUGGGAUUGGAUGUCUGUACUUGAUGGUGAUGUUGUUGAUGGCGCGGCAGUCCACACACAUUCUCCAUGUACCAUCUUUCUUGGGAACUAAGAGUACCGGUACAGCACACGGACUCAAACUCUCUCUAAUGUAACCCUUAUCCAUUAACUCCCUUACUUGUCUUUCUAAUUCCUUGCUUUCUUCAGGAUUCAUUCGAUAUGCUGGUUUGUUGGGUAAGGCUGAGCCUGGAACAAGAUCAAUCUGGUGCUCUAUGCCUCGAAUUGGGGGUAACCCAGGGGGUAUCUCCUCGGGAAAUAGAUCCUUGUACUUGUUGAGGAGGGGCUGAACCGUUGGUGCAAUUUCCAGAUCACUUAUACCUGAGCUUAGACACUCUUUAAACAUCAUUAGUAGCACAGUGCCUUGGGCACUAAUGGUUUUACAAAUAGCUCCAGAAGAUAAAUAAAGGGUUGGUUUUCUUACUUCUACCUCUUUGUUCAUCCGAAUUUGAAGUUCAUGAACUUCAGAAGGACUAAGAGGUGCUAGGUUAUACUUACGACCAUUAUGUGUAAGAGAGUAGUGGUUUGUUCGUCCAUCAUGUUGUGUGGCUCUGUCAAACUGCCAUGGUCUCCCUAGCAGAAGGUGUCCCGCUUGCAUUGGUACCACGUCACAAGUGACUUCAUCUUGGUAUUUGCCCACACUAAACGGUAUAGACACUUGCUCGGAUAUCUUUAGCUCGGUUUGAUCAUUAAGCCAACGUAGUCUAUAUGGUCUAGGAUGUCUAGUCUUCUCAAAACCUAACCUGUCCACCAUAUACUUGCUAGCAACAUUAGUACAAGACCCGCUAUCUAUGAUAAGAUUACAUACCUUGUUUUUCACUGUGCAUCUUGUGUGAAAGAGGUUUUCCCUUUGUACUUUCUCCUCAGGAUUCACAAAUGCACUAAGUACCCUCCGAAUCACUAAAGUUUCUCCACUGUCUGGAUACUCAAUGUCAUCACUUUGCUCAAUGGUUUCAUCAUCUAGCUCGUCUUGUGACUCAUACUCGCCAUUAUUAGUGAUGAUCAUGGCUCUCUGGUUGGGGCAGUCUCUUGCGUAAUGUCCUCUUCCCUGACACUUAAAACAAGUUAUAUCACGAGAUCUUGAGUUAUUAUUGGGAAACUUACCUUGCUCAGGUCUGUUGGUUUUGGAUGUCUCAGCAUUGUUCUUCUUGAACCGAGAAUCAAUCUCCACGUUCUUCCCUUUAUCUACAGGCUUUGAGCUGCUAGACGCCCAUGUUUGAGAUGUCUUGUUGCGACUGGUGAAGUUCGUCUUACGCUUUAUCUGUUGUUCUACUUGGGCAGCUAGAUGCAACAGCUCAUGCAACCCACUAUACUGCGCCCUCUCUACCUUCCUUUGAAUUCUUUCUUGCAGGCCGUCUAUGAAUUGGGCCAUCAAUGCUUCCUCAGACUCCUCUAGCUCUAGGGAGUUCAUAAGCUUCUCAAAUUCCUCAAAGUACUCAUCUACGCUUCUGGUUCCCUGAGACAACUUACGAAAACGUUUUUGUAAGUCUCUAUGGUAGUGUUCAGGAACAUACCUAAGCCGUAGAAGGUAUUUCAUGUCACUCCAUGUCACUACUGGUCCAAAACGUUGCCUCCUUCUCUCAGCCACGUUUCUGUCCCACCAUGCGAGUGCAUUGUCAGUGAGCUGCGCGGCUGCAACAGCUACUUUCCUGCGUUCUCCAUAGCUAUAACACUCAAAUAUAUGCUCUAGACGUCUCUCCCAAUCCAUGUAGACCUCUGGAUCAGAUUUUCCUGCAAAAGUAGGUGGUGUUAGUUUCAGGUCUUUGUAAGUGUCACGAGGUUCUACUCGUCUAGCUUGAUUCAUUCUCAGAGGGUCUUCUCUUCGUUGGUGUUGGCGCAACAAAGGAUCAGGGGGUAUGUCAUCUUCCUCCACGUCCAGAAUCUCAUCAUCCUCUUCACGGAUGUUUCUCCUAGCUUGAACAUUCCUCUCUCCAGCUCUAGGCUGAGGUGGUGGAGGUUGUUCCAAUCUCCCAACCCGGUCUCCAAUUCCUCUCAUCUCCUCUCUCAUAGCUGUGAGCAUUUGCAUGAUAGCAUCCUGGGGGACUUCAUCUCCGUCAGCCAUAGUACUCCUUAGGUGUUGUUGUCACUUGCACUCAACAAAAACAACAAGAAAUUAAAGGUACCACAGAAUUGAAAAGUGCUAAAUGCAAACAGAAACAAAUAAAACAAAACAAGAACAAGUAAACAAUUUCUUUUGAUUUUUUUUUUUUUUUUUUUUGGUUUUAAUAAAAAAAGACUUGAAACAGACACUAAUCAAAACUAACAACCUAGAAAACAGAAUCAAACGAAACUUUUUAUGGGGUUUUUCUUUUUAUAAUGAAACAGAAGCAGAAACAAGCAACAAAAGUUUUAAAACAAGCUAAUUGAAUUCUAAGGGAUAGAAUGGAUAGAACCUGAGGUAGGAACCUUAGGCUCUGAUACCAAAAUGAUAUAAGACUCGGUUAAGAGACUUAUAAAGGCGCAGGAACUGGCUCGAGUGGCGGACUCGACCGGCUGUCUCGACGUUAGGUCGAGCUUGACGGUUUGAAGCGUGGACGAGUGAAUACGAGGAGGAUCUGCGAGUGGCGGUCUCGACCGGCUAUCUCGACGUUAGGUCGAGCUUGAUGUUUUGAAGCGUGGACGAGUGAAUACGAGGAGGAUCGAUGGGAAACUUAAGCUGGCUGUAGCGCACUCUCUUAAGUUUCUGUGGGUGAGUUUAUACGACAAGACUCAAAGGGAUGAGGCUUGAAGUCGAUGCGGAAUCAAACAAGCUGGCUGUGACGCUCUCUCUUGUGAGAUCAAAGGAUGGAUGUGAAGUGGAUCGAUGGCACCACAGAGAUGAUGGAAGGAUCUCUGAUACAGCAAGGCACUCGAGCUUAGGUGAAUCACACAACCUAAGAACAAGCAAAAGUCUCUACAAGGCGGCGGCUUGAGAGGAAGAAAGUUCUACUUUAUUGAUAUGAGAAAAAGCGUGCAAGUUACAAAGCUGCAGGGGAACCUUAUAAAGGGGUUCGUCAGCUAGCCCUAGGGCGACUCAAAUAACCAAAAACGACACAGCAACAGGACUUAAUGGAAAAUUAAAAGAAAAAGGAAAAAGUACUUAAACAACAAAAAUGGAAAAUAAGCAAAAAUAAGCUAACUAGGUUGCUCACUUGCUGGGGCUCGUUCCCUGGUUUCUUGGGAUGCUUAAACCACUAGGAGAACUCAUUCUUACCUGCACAAAUCAUAAAUAUUGAAAAUACCUGAUUUUGGCUUGAAGUGAGCUUGUUUGAGGCUGAAGUGGUCUUGUCUGGGUCUGGUCCGUCCAGCUUGAUUUCCUUGAUGGUUUCCUCCUCUUGGAGUCCUUUGAGCUCUAAUUGAUGAAGAUCUUCAAGAGUUUCCACGUGAAUACCUUCAAGCUUGUCUUCUUGUUCUACUUGAAGCUUGUUGGUUCCAUUGCUUGUCUUGGACGUAUCUUGCAGCUCUAAAGUGUUCUUUGUUGAAAUCUUGAUGUUUUUAGCUCCUACACCUGCCAAUGAAAUAGACUUACAAUGGGUUUCGGUUG